rnacentral:rRNA from 1 species
AUGAAGGCGUCGGCGGAGAAGGAAUUCUCCGGCGACGACGUCGAUUUCGACCCCAGCGUGUCNNNNNNNNNNNNNNNNNNNNNNNNNGGGGAAGAAUUGUACGAGGAUUUGUUGGCGAAGGCAUCGCUUCAGCUGCUUGGGAAGGGUCUUCCGCCUCAACUCCGGCACCACGGCUUCAAAAUGAUGCGGCAUCUAUUCAGUUCAAGGAGUGCUACAGCUGCUUUAGUGGCAAAGGCAAUUUGGAGUGGUGGAAUUUCUCUAUUGAAUGAUUUGCUUUCUCCCGUUACUUAUCUAUCUAAACCAGGUCCUGACGAUGCUGAGUUGGCCGCCUUCAUGUUAAAGUGGAUUUCAGAUUUCAGAGGUGGCCUAUGUGAAGCAGAUUUACCUGAUCUAGAUGAGUUUCUCACAAAUGUCAUGCUUUUCCUUUCGUCAUUGCUCGAGAAACAUUUUGAAUCAAUUAUUGCUGAACGCCCUGACGAGCUCAUGGUAUCAACUGAAAAGGAUGUCUUGACGGUAACAUCUUGCUUGCUUGCUGCAAAUGCGUAUGCGGAGUGGGUUCCAGUGGUUCACCUUGUCAAACAUGGUUUAGUUAAAAGAUGCGAGUCCUUACUUCAUCUCAGUAAAUUCCAGACAUAUGCUUUGAAGUUCUUCAAAAUUCUGUGCCAAAGAAGAAGGCCUAUUACUGCCGCACAGGAUUAUGACGAUGCAAUGGGCCAUGUCUUUGAGAUCUUGAUGAGCAUUUCACAAGAUUCUUUGACCAAAGAUAGAGCAUGCUCUGAUUUUAGUAGUGAAAGGGAGCUCGACGUUGCCGAGGGUAUCUGCGACUGUUUGGUUACUCUGGUUUCAUCCAACAUGCAAUGUAUUGUUUCAGAUACCAUUAAGACCUCCUGUUUCCUUCGACAGAUGCUGGAAUAUUACCAACAUUACAAGAUUGCACUUCAUUUUCAGUGCUUACCGUUUUGGCUGAUGGUGCUAACUAAGGGACCUAAAUAA